GUACACGCUGUGACUAGCAUAUCAAUAAGCGGAGGAAAAGAAACUAACAAGGAUUCCCCUAGUAACGGCGAGUGAAGCGGGAAGAGCUCAAAUUUGAAAUCUUAAAGGGUUUCCCUUUACGAAUUGUAGUUUAAAGAAGUGUUUUCUGUUGAGGUUUUGGUAAAAGUUCUUUGGAAUAGGACAUCAUAGAGGGUGAGAAUCCCGUAUUUGACCUUUACUUUCAACUUUGUGAUACACUUUCAAAGAGUCGGAUUGUUUGGGAAUGCAGUCCAAAAUGGGUGGUAAAUUUCAUCUAAAGCUAAAUAUUGGCGAGAGACCGAUAGCGAACAAGUACCGUGAGGGAAAGAUGAAAAGAACUUUGAAAAGAGAGUUAAACAGUACGUGAAAUUGUCAAAAGGGAAGCGCUUGACACCAGUGUUGUUUUUCUGAAAAUCAAUUAAAGAACUGUUUAUGCUAAGUUGUUUAGACUUUAUCAGCCAACUGUUUAGUUUUGAGCUUUUCUUUAAUGCACUUUUCAGUUAACAAGUCAACAUCAAUUUCUUUUGCUGUAAAAAAGCUUGAGGAAGGUGGCUUGAGAUUCGUCUUAAGUGUUUAUAGCCUCUUGCCUAUGCAGUCGGAGAGAUUGAGGUCUGCAGCGUAGAUCCUUCGGGGCUAAAUGCAUUUGUGCUAAGUUAUAACAUUUUAUAGACAACUUGUUGACUAUGAUUUGUCUUGUAGCUUACUCGCUUAUGUUAUUUUACCUACGCUUAGGAUGUUGACGAGACUGUCGAUCUC
rnacentral:rRNA from 1 species